AAACACGUGCUCACAGAAUUGUUUCCAACAAUUUGUCUGGUAAAAAUUUAAUGAAAAAUGCACUUUUUAUUUUUUUUAUGAAAAUCAAAAAAAAAAACAAUAGAAUAGAACGAAGAAUGACUAUGCCGUACGUCAAAAAAGUUCACCUUGCAUGUAUCGCAGCUUGUUACCAAAUACACAUACGUAUACAUCACGUUUAAAUGGUUCAAACGGUGCAUUUUGGCUUGUUGUUUUUGUUGUUAUUAUUGUUGUUUUUAAAUCGCUCACUCAUCUACUGACCUUGCGAAAUGAUAUAAAAAUGUAUAAUCAAUCACCGGGUUAAGAACAGUAUAAUAUACAUAUACGUAUGUUCGCACGUGUCAGGUAUUGCUGUUGCAAUUACACUACAAUCGUUACUAUACAUAUUUUUGUAUUCCGUGAUAUAUAUCAUACACUUAUUAUUAAAUGCAUUGUGUGUUCGCAUAGGUACUAUUAUUAUACCCGAGGCUAUUCACAUUCGUAUAUCCCAAGUCUAUUACCGUUUAAUUCUUUACGUUAUUUUUCUAUGCGUACAAUAGAUUUUUUAAGUCAACACCGCGCUAAAACUGCAUUAUUAUACAUUUAUACCUAACUUAUAUUACAAUUGUUUGUUCUUAUUGUCAACGUAGCGUUUCCCGCAAUUAUUAUAGCGUUGGACGUUUAAAAAUGUGCCAUUUGCAUUUACGGUAACGGCAACAAACCCUCGAGAAUUGUUAAGUCGUCAUCAUAGCGAAAAAAAUUAGUUUUCUUGACCAGCUGUUAUAGAUAUUCGUUGUGUUGUGUUGUAUUGUGUCGGGGCUUCAGCUAACACGAUUACAAGAUUUUAUAGGCCAUUCAUCAUCAUAAUAUAUAAAUGGUAUUUAUUAUCACGAAAUAAUGGUACAACGGACUUAAUGUAAGUACCAUUAUCAUUCAGGGGCGUAUUUAAGGGGAACAAGGAGCUCAUACUCCUAAUAUGCCUAAUAUGUCCGUAAUGGGUCAUAUUGAAUAUUGUAUUACGUACCUAUCUAUCUAGUAUCUACUUAUCAUAAUAAUCUAUGAUGGCCUGAAAUUUUCUUGUGGGAUAAAAUCUAAUACCUAACUGUUGUUGUUGAUACCAAAUUUAUUAUCGAAGAAUAUUUUAACCAACUAUGUAAUUUAUAUUGUUUUAGGCUGUACGUUAAAGAUUACUCGUAAUGUAGUCAUCGCUGUAUCUGGUACUAUACAGUACUAUUUGGGAAGUAAAUGAAGUUGGCAUUACAUGGUAAUAGUGUAAUCUCAUAGAAAACUAUCCAACAAUGUGCAUAUUGAAUUGCCUAUUGAAGUAUUAGACACAUAGAAUAAUUAGAACAACUUUAGAACGAAAUUAUUAUUUAUUAUAUAUAUUUAAUUUUGAAUGCCAAGUUCACCGCUAACAUUAGAACUAUGUUGACCUUUGGAACCAUUAAAAAAUUAUUCAUCUAUCUAGUCUGUACCUAUUAUCGCUUAAACGUCUGCAAGCCGAUGGAAGAAGGGUUGUCAUAAUUAUUAUUAAACACCGACAUGUUAAUUAAAAAAAAAGAAUCCAACCGAACGAACCGUGUAGGCGAAAUAAACCGAUACCAUACAAUCGCAUUGACAUAUCGAUAUUAUAUUAAUGUAUAUUAAAUUAUGCGAGUUUUAGAAGUCGCGUGGGCUGUAUGAAAACGAGUAAUAAAUGUAUAAAAAUUAAGCGGUUCACGAGUUAGGUUGUUAUACAUAUAUAAGUGUACCUUCGUAUAUACACUAUAAUGUGCUGUAAAUGUCACAUUGAACUGUUUACUCAAUCCUAUUUGUAAAUAUAUUGUAAUAAUACUAUCACAUGAUGUGCCUUGUCCAAAGGUCGCAUUAUUCUUAAACAUAAGAAUUGAUUAAUUCUUUUUUUUUUUGACUCUUAAUGUAGGUAAAGAUUACAUACAGUAUAAACUAUAAACCUAUAGUUU